rnacentral:rRNA from 1 species
GUAGGUGGCAAGCGUUGUCCGGAAUUAUUGGGCGUAAAGCGCGCGCAGGCGGUUCUUUAAGUCUGAUGUGAAAGCCCACGGCUCAACCGUGGAGGGUCAUUGGAAACUGGAGAACUUGAGUACAGAAGAGGAAAGCGGAAUUCCACGUGUAGCGGUGAAAUGCGUAGAGAUGUGAGGAACACCAGUGGCGAAGGCGGCUUUCUGGUCUGUAACUGACGCUGAGGCGCGAAAGCGUGGGGGAGCAAACAGGAUUAGAUACCCUGGUAGUCCACGCCGUAAACGAUGAGUGCUAAGUGUUAGGGGGUUUCCGCCCCUUAGUGCUGCAGCUAACGCAUUAAGCACUCCGCCUGGGAGUACGGCCGCAAGGCUG